rnacentral:misc_RNA from 1 species
GCGAAGUCAAGUCCGGACCUCAGUAGGAUUGUAGCUGGCUUAACCGCAUGUGCUCGUCCAAAAGGGCUCGGACCUUCACUACCACACCCCAUUGUGAACCAAGCGGGAGGUCGAAAGGCCUCUUGCAUCUUAUAAUAUACCCCAAUCGUAUGUCUUAGAAUGUCAUAGCGUUAACUCGCAAUCAUA